CGAUAGUUCAUGGCUAUACUUUAAAUGAUGCUACAACUGAUCAAUGGAAUCAAGUUUGUUAGUCUCUUUCUUCAUUUAAAUUCUCCCAACAACGUUUCAACUCAUGGUUUGAACAGCUAUUAAUGGUCUCUCACACUCUGGGACUACUAUGCACCCAUGCUAAUCAUCUUGGGGCUGGAUACCAGACAACUGGAGACAGCCCCUAUGUCCUGGUGCUUGAGAAAUUAUUCAAAUUAUCCAACCUGCAGCAAGUAUAUGAAACCUAGCUAACCUCAUCUCUCUUGCCAUACACAAGCUGCCCACUACAGAUUCAGCUUGCUCUUAGCCUAUCCUGAGCUAACUCCCUGUGCGGCACUGCAUAGGGAGUUCUCUCUUUUGGCCCAGAUACCAUAUUUCAUUUAGUUGUCAUUUCUCCUUAAACUUCUCUUGGUUGUGAUAGUUUCUUAGAUUGUCUUUGUUUUUGAUGACCUGGACCAUUUUGAAGGCUACUAGACAGAAAGGGUCACUACAGAUUUUCUUUAAGCGGCACACACACCUCAUGCCAGAAUGCUGAAAUACGGAUUAUCUGGGCAUGUUUUCACUGAGAAAGGCAGAGCAAAUGAUGGAGGAGAGAGAGUAAAACAUAAAGGAGACAUAGUAAGAAGAUGUACAUCUGCAAACCAGGAAGGGAGCCCUCGCCUGACAACUAGAUCUGCCAGCACCUUGAUCUUGGAUUUUCUAGCCUUUAGAACUGCAAAAAAUAAAUGUUU
rnacentral:lncRNA from 1 species